GUCACAGGUGGUGCGGCCCCAGCGAUGGGGCAGCGCCGAAGCGCAGUACUAACGAAGACGGUAAAAAG
rfam:Pseudomonas monteilii strain TSDA-ARS-TSMARC-56711, complete genome.